CCUACGGGUGGCAGCAGUGGGGAAUAUUAGGCAAUGGGCGCAAGCCUGACCCAGCAACGCCGCGUGAAGGAAGAAGGCUUUCGGGUUGUAAACUUCUUUUCUCAGGGACGAAGCAAGUGACGGUACCUGAGGAAUAAGCCACGGCUAACUACGUGCCAGCAGCCGCGGUAAUACGUAGGUGGCAAGCGUUAUCCGGAUUUACUGGGUGUAAAGGGCGUGUAGGCGGGGACGCAAGUCAGAUGUGAAAACCACGGGCUCAACCUGUGGCCUGCAUUUGAAACUGUGUUUCUUGAGUACUGGAGAGGCAGACGGAAUUCCUGGUGUAGCGGUGAAAUGCGUAGAUAUCAGGAGGAACACCGGUGGCGAAGGCGGCCUGCUGGACUGCAACUGACGUUGAGGCCCGAAAGCGUGGGGAGCAAACAGGAUUAGAUACCCGAGUAGUC
rnacentral:rRNA from 1 species